GAUGAACGCUGGCGGCGUGCCUAAUACAUGCAAGUCGAGCGAACAGACGAGGAGCUUGCUCCUCUGACGUUAGCGGCGGACGGGUGAGUAACACGUGGAUAACCUACCUAUAAGACUGGGAUAACUUCGGGAAACCGGAGCUAAUACCGGAUAAUAUAUUGAACCGCAUGGUUCAAUAGUGAAAGACGGUUUUGCUGUCACUUAUAGAUGGAUCCGCGCCACAUUAGCUAGUUGGUAAGGUAACGGCUUACCAAGGCGACGAUGCGUAGCCGACCUGAGAGGGUGAUCGGCCACACUGAAACUGAGACACGGUCCAGACUCCUACGGGAGGCAGCAGUAGGGAAUCUUCCGCAAUGGGCGAAAGCCUGACGGAGCAACGCCGCGUGAGUGAUGAAGGUCUUCGGAUCGUAAAACUCUGUUAUUAGGGAAGAACAAAUGUGUAAGUAACUAUGCACGUCUUGACGGUACCUAAUCAGAAAGCCACGGCUAACUACGUG
rnacentral:rRNA from 1 species